CAUAGGCUAGGCUACAUUCAGUGUGGAGAAACAUGUUUUCUAUCAACCGACUGUUGAAACGGAUUUUUCUUUUUACUGGCGCAGUUACUGUUUUUGUCCAAUAACCUGGAAUAGUAUAACUUCCCUGCUAGUUUAAUAUUAGAAUAAGUACGUCAGAAAACCAAUUUACGUAGUGAUUGGUCACCGAAACAGGUUUGAAUUAGUUUUUCUUGGAGCCGAUAUGAUAACACUGAUGCUGCGUCUCGGUUUCAUUCAAUAUUACCAACACCAUCACGAACUUGAAUUGAAAGCAUGAAUUCCUUUACAUUGCUUUUCUCAGUUCUCGGGAAGGUUGGCGUCCGGCAGAACGACCGAAUCAGCACCAUGGAUAGCGACCGUAGUUUGGAAUGGAUUUAAGUUUCUUGCAACAUUUCACAUAAUAGUUUCGCUGAAUCUUUUGCUAUUAGGCCUGUAUGAUAUUGUAGAAUUGUAUACAUAUACACCUGAUUAAGUUUCUUGGAAACAAUAAUAUGAAACGCUUGGGAACGAUGUUUGCUUGUAUUACGAAUUUAUAUUAUACACAGAAACUUCCCUUGUAAUUCAUGUUCCCGAGAAUAAUCAUUAUACUUCUGCAUUAUAUGUAUAUCUUUAAAUGUAUUUCACAUAGUGAUAUUGAUUAAUAGCUUAUGUACUGUAGCAAUUAGAUGUAUAGCUACUGAACUAUGGGUUUUGUAAAUGUUACAGAGAGCACUGCAAUUACUACUCAGAAACAACAGGUUCACUAAGGGACAAGGGCAUAAGACAACUAUGACACGUGGAUGGCUUCUUACAGGCGUUCUAUGGACGAAAGCCCAGAGCAAGAGGUCAAACUGGGACACUCAGAGGCGGCGACAAUCAUGACACCACUGUGUUCACCAGCUUCCUCUUGAAGAUGGCCAGUCAGCGCUAAGCUAACUAGCUGGGUGUAGCAGAUUUGACUGGAA
rnacentral:lncRNA from 1 species